UGCCAGCAGCCGCGGUAAUACGGAGGGUGCAAGCGUUAAUCGGAAUUACUGGGCGUAAAGGGCGCGUAGGCGGUUUGGUUAGUCAGAUGUGAAAGCCCCGGGCUUAACCUGGGAACUGCAUUUGAUACUGCCAGACUAGAGUGUGGUAGAGGGAAGUGGAAUUCCGCGUGUAGCGGUGAAAUGCGUAGAUAUGCGGAGGAACAUCAGUGGCGAAGGCGACUUCCUGGACCAACACUGACGCUCAGGUGCGAAAGCGUGGGGAGCAAACAGGAUUAGAUA
rnacentral:rRNA from 1 species